rnacentral:lncRNA from 1 species
GAUACAACUAUAAAUAAUUUUUUUUAUAUAAGGGGUAGUUAGAUUAGCUUUAGUGCAGAAGAAAUAUCUUUUAUUUAAAAAGUGAUGAAGAAGAUAAAUUUAUUUUUUAUUUAAAACUAUUUUUUCUAACUACUUCAGUUAGAAUUACCGUCAAUUUAGACGUCAUUCUAACUGCUACAAUCGGACCUCGUGAUACAUUUCUAAUUGCAGCAGUUAGAUUCAAACAUAUCAAAUCAAAUACCUUAUUUAGAUUUGUAUAUAGUUAUAACUAGGAUUGGCAAUCCAACUCAUUAUUCACGAGUCAGCUGGUGUUUGACUCAAAAUAAGUUUGAGGUCGAUAGCUCGGUCAAUAAACGAGCUGAAUACGAGUUGAAUUUUUCAGCUCGCAAUUUUAACGAGCCAAAUACGAGCUGGAAUCAGCUCGCUUGUAUUUGGCUCGAUAUAUAUAUAGAAUUGAGCUUCUAUACUUUUAAAAGUACCAAGUUAUUGGUACUUGUAAGUUUUCGGCCCUUUGAUUAAGGGAUGUGCGGUUAGGAUGAUGUGGGUCCCGUGGGGUUGAGUGGGUAGUUGGUUGAAUAGUAUAAUCUAACGGUUGAAAAUGAUUA